GCGCCCAUAGCUCAGUGGUUAGGGCACUGGCCACAAACACCAGGGCUAGCAGGUUAGAACCUGGCCUGGGCCCA
rnacentral:tRNA from 1 species